rnacentral:tRNA from 1 species
GCCGGUGUAGCUCAGUGGUAGAGCGUCCCGCUCGUAACGGGAAGGUCGUGGGUUCAAUCCCCACCGCCGGCUCAA